UACAGAGGGUGCAAGCGUUAAUCGGAAUUACUGGGCGUAAAGGGUGCGUAGGUGGUUAAUUAAGUCAGAUGUGAAAUCCCAAGGCUUAACCUUGGAAUGGCAUUUGAUACUGAUAAGCUAGAGUACAGAAGAGGGAAGUGGAAUUUCCGGUGUAGCGGUGAAAUGCGUAGAUAUCGGAAGGAACAUCAGUGGCGAAGGCGACUUCCUGGUCUGUUACUGACACUGAGGCACGAAAGCGUGGGGAGCGAACAGG
rnacentral:rRNA from 1 species